rnacentral:lncRNA from 1 species
GUAUUCCAUUCUGUUAAACUAUAUAUUUAAUUACCAAGAAUACUCCCAACUACACCCUUACAAUCAAACAAACUAUUAAAUCAUCAGAAGAUCCAGAAUAAUAAAGUGCAUGCUUAAUUAUCGGAAGAAAUAGAAUCAAGAAGUUUGUUAACUCAAUCAUGCAUGCUGAUUUGUAAUUACAGUAUAUUGGAGUAAAGAUUGGAUCCAGCACUAAAAGACUUCAAGAAGUGGCUUAUU